GACGAACGCUGGCGGCGUGCUUAACACAUGCAAGUCGAACGAAGAGGCGAACGGGUGAGUAACGAGUAAUCAACCUGCCCUUCAGAGGGGGAAAAAAGGUGGAAACGACUGCUAAUACCGCAUAAUGAAGGAGGGGAUUGAGUCUGAUGAGCUAGUAGGAGGGGUAACGGCCCACCAAUGCGAUGAUCAGUAGCCGGUCUGAGAGGAUCAACGGCCACAUUGGGACUGAGACACGGCCCAGACUCCUUCGGGAGGCAGCAGUGGGGAAUCUUCCGCAAUGGACGAAAGUGUGACGGAGCAACGCCGCGUGAGUGAUGACGGCCUUCGGGUUGUAAAGCUCUGUUAAUCGGGACGCGGUACCGGAAUAGAAAGCCACGGCUAACUACGUGCCAGCAGCCGCGGUAAUAC
rnacentral:rRNA from 1 species